rnacentral:rRNA from 1 species
CCCUCCGGGGUGCCCGAAGAUCAAAAUGAUCCACCAGAAAAAUCCUUCCGUCCGGGACAGCAGCCAGAAAUAGAGACUGGCCAGAGCAAAACAGAUCAGCAUCGCGAUCAAAAUUACUGCAAAGGGAUUUCCUGUGAUGAUCCCAAAGACGACUCCCGCAACUGUGUAAAGCCCCGCGCAUAACAGGGAGUUCUCUGUGGCCAGCAACAGGCGGAUAAGAGACACGAGAAUAAUGAGCUUGAUACCCAGAAUCAUGGCGAUUUUUGAUCUUUCUGUUUGUAUUGAUCCGUCAGAUCGGGAGGAAUUGGCGGGAGGGC